AAUCAAAUUAUCUUCAUCACAAGUUAAAAGAAAAAGGGGUCGGAGCAGCAGAUGGCUGCCGUUAGUGGGCCCACCCAUGGUUUCCGUAAUCCAUUUCUCGGCAGUCGGUACCAGCAGGUUUUGAUUUGGUUUUUAGUUUUACCUUUCGUAAAAGUAAUUGCCAAAUCAAGAUUUAGGAAAACAAUAUUCCUGUUGUUAGAACUAUAUGAUUUUUUUUAUAAAACAGUAGGGAACCCUUACUGGAUCUUUUUCUUUUUCAUAGAAAAAAAACUAUAUUAAUC
rnacentral:lncRNA from 1 species